UAAAGAGGCGACGCUGGCGGCGUGCCUAUUACAUGGCUAGUCGUGCGGACUUAAAAAGCUUGCUUUUUAAGUUAGCGGCGGACGGGUGAGUAACACGUGGGCAACCUGCCUGUAAGACUGGGAUAACUUCGGGAAACCGGAGCUAAUACCGGAUAAUCCUUUUCUACUCAUGUAGAAAAGCUGAAAGACGGUUUACGCUGUCACUUACAGAUGGGCCCGCGGCGCAUUAGCUAGUUGGUGAGGUAACGGCUCACCAAGGCGACGAUGCGUAGCCGACCUGAGAGGGUGAUCGGCCACACUGGGACUGAGACACGGCCCAGACUCCUACGGGAGGCAGCAGUAGGGAAUCUUCCGCAAUGGACGAAAGUCUGACGGAGCAACGCCGCGUGAGUGAUGAAGGUUUUCGGAUCGUAAAACUCUGUUGUUAGGGAAGAACAAGUACGAGAGUAACUGCUCGUACGUUGACGGUACCUAGAAAGACCCCCACGACUAACUGCGUGCCGACAGGCGAGAAAAGUAAGGUAGGUGGCGCUCGUCGCCAAAAAUUGAGCGGAAAAGCGCGCGCGCGGCGGGCCGUUCACGUCUGAAUGUGAAGGCCCUCGGCUCCUCCGGCGGAGGGAUCCUUGGAGACUGGGGGGAUUGAGAUGGGGAAAAAAAAAAAAGGGGAG
rnacentral:rRNA from 1 species